UGAAUAAUCACAUUAUAACAAUAAGCAUCUAAUAAACAUCCACCCUCUUCGAUUCCUCUAAAUACCUUGUAUGCUUCAUCUAGCAACCCUUUUUGGCAAAAUCCUUUGUUUAUUGGUACAUCCUUAUCAACCAUCUCAUCAAUAAGUUGCAAUGCUUUUAGUACAUCCUUAUGCCUGAGAAACUCUUGAAUAAUCACAUUA
rnacentral:misc_RNA from 1 species